GGCGGAUGCGGUUUCUGCCGCGUGCGCUACACCGAAGCCGGGUUCUUCGGUGACGUUCUGUCAUGCGGCGAACGCAGAAGCUGUUUUAGGCUGAACGUUCGCGACCCGGGCUGCAGAGGAUGUGUGUAUGUCACACUGACACACCGGGCCCCCAUCUCCUCCCUGCUGUGCGAGCGGCGCGCUGCGGGCCGCAAGGGCGCAAUGAUGGAUCGCCGGGGCUGCGCGGGGCCGAGCCUUACACAAAUCCCACACUUAGCAGUGCGGUUAUGCAAGCGGCAUCGUUACAUAAUGAGAAUAUAUAAAUACAGGGAAAGCAGUGGCAGUGUGCUGCUGUGCGGUAAGAAGUUUGGGGUAAUGAGAAGAAAUUGCAGAAAGUGAAGAGACCUGCAGGCUCAGGUGGCAGCUGGAGCACGGGGCUGUUCUCUGCUGCUUCCACGUGUUUCCUUUCUGUUUGCUUUCAGCACAUGUGAAUGGUCUUAAACAUCUUGUGCAUUUUCAUAUGUCUUUAUUGCACUACAAUAUUCUGAUAUAUAUGUAAACUCAUGUAGUAUAAUCUCAGUACAGCAUAAUUAGGGUUCCAUACCCUAUGAUUUUUAUUAAAAUCUUCUAUUGAGUGAUGAGUAGUGACAAAGUGCAAGGUACUGUGAACAUAAAGGUGACCAGAAAAGUGUUUUUAAAAACUGGCACAAAAGAAGCAGUAAAAAUGUGUUGCUGAAAGUGAUGUUCAGUGCAUUUUUCAUUACAGGAAAACAUUGAUUUUACAGAACUGUCCGAAGUAGGGCAGGCUGAUGGCACUGCUUGUAAUCUUUACAAAAAUAAAGUCCUGCUAGGAAAAUAAACACAGCUGAAACAGUACUGGGAAGUUAAUGAAUAGAGUAAAAUAUUAAACAAAGGGACUUAUUUUUUAGAUAAUGGGCCUAACGUGUUCUGAUGUCCAUGCAUGUUAGAGGGUGGGAGGUGGAAGCCUGGCAGCCUGCAGAGACAACAGUCCUUGGGGUGAGCAGGAUGCUCUGUGGGCUCUGCAAUGUGUGGUUUAAGGAGAAGAAAGGCUCUUCGGGGUUAAACUGCUCAGCCUCUGGCAAAUCUUCUGUCCAUCUUCUGAUGGGCUGCUCUGUGCUGAAGAGGCCCCAGGAGCAGACAGGCUAGAUGCUGCCCAUGGGCUGUGUCGCUGUGGUUGUCCCCGCUGGUGAGGCAGUUGCAGCCAGAUGUCUCCUCCCUGCCCUGCUCCCAUCCUGCUGCGUGAUUCCUAAGUGAUGCUUUCAUCUCUGGUAGUGAAUGCCACCGCAGGCCCUAGGCAUCAGGCCAAAGUUAGCGUGGUCUUCAGCCUCCCUGCUCAAGGUUAGGUACAGAGAGGUGGCUGGGAGCCACGUGGUUCAGACCUGCGCUGAAGAGCCUGCUGGAAAAGCACCAGCAGCUGUUGUGACAGAUGGUCUAAACAACAGCAGCAUCCGCUGCUGAUGGAAGUGCUGGGCUGCAGCAGCAGCAGGACUCGUUCGGCACUUCUGUCUUUUCCACAGGCAGGAGGCAUUUAGUCCUCUUGCCUUGGAGAAUAUUGCCUAUCUCCUGGCUUCCUGCGAGAAACGCCCACUGGGUCUGCAGCUCUGUGGGAAGUAGCCCUGCUGGGGAUCAGCACGUGGAAUUUGUUGGUGGUUCCGGAUCCUCAGUGGCACCUGACUGUCUGGGCGCUGGUGAAGAUAUGUAUUGCUGUCACAGCAGUGAAGAUAAAUGUCUGGAAACUUUUCUCCAUUGUUCUUGUCUUCCUGUAGUAUUUUAAAAUGCCCUAGGAUAAUAUUCUGUGGGACGGAAGCUUUCGGUUUUCCAGUGCUGGGGUCAGACAGGAAGGUGCUGCACAGUCCCUGUGCUCCUUGGCAAUAGGUAAAAGAACGCUGUGAGCUCAGCCAGUUCUGUCCUGUCGUGUAUCUCUAGGCUGUGUCCCCGUGCAGCCUGCACUGUGGACUAAAUGCAAAUACGUCUCUGGAAGAAGGACAGGGUCAUGGUCAUUGUCUGGUUCUGUUUGCUUUGUUCCUGUGGGUUUACCUGUUAAUGCUGUUAUAUAUAAAUACAAGCAGUACUACAGAUAAAUUGCAAGUUCCUUUUCUCCAUCUCUGUGUGGGCACAAGCUUGGGCUUGUGCCAGGUGCUUAGGUAAUGUCACACAUGUAGGAUUUGGGUCUCCUUGUCUGGACAGAAAGCGCCAUGGUGAUCUCAGAGCUUCUAAAGAUCACUGUUCAUGUCAUUUCCAAGUGAGUCCAACACAGCUGUAGGAGCUACAGUAAUGAAAAUAAUCAGCAGCAGUCUGGUUCCUUUUUUUUCAGGGCUGCUGUCUCACGGGAGAGAAUGAUCUCCAAGGAUAGACUGGGCUUUCAUAAGGACGGCUGUAUACAUUUUAUGUAGGGUUAGUUAUUCCGUUUGCAAGCCAGCUGGAGUAGUGUACUGGGAACCUUACAAUUUAAAGCUCUUACAACCUUAAAAUAACUUCUUAUUUGUGUGUUGUCAGUCAAGGUUAGUAUUACUUGACUAUUAUGUGGUAGGGGAGGGAAAGUCAGGGCAUUUGGAGGUCACAGAGAGGAGUCCACAGGCUGUAGUGUGUGAAGAAGCCUCAGUGCAUUGCUCUAAACCAGAGGGUUUAUAUUUAGAAGGGCAUGAUCAGCAUAUAGCUGGGUUUCUUCUAGCAUGUGUAGAAUGUUCUGCAGGCUUUGUCUCGAAAUAACCUUUGAGAAGACUCUUAAAACUCUGGUGAAGGCAUUGUCUAAUGAGGUAAAUAAUGGGAGGUAGCGUUGAUCAGUGCUGGCGUGAAGACUCAAAGAAAAAGUUUUCCCAAAAUACCAAAUGUGGAUUUGUUUCUAUUGUAUACUUUCAUUUUAUUCAUAUUUGAAGUCCUUUCACAAUGUAUCAUUUUGUCUAAAAUAUCACAAGCCCUGUAAAAUAUUGUGAAUUACUUCAGACAUCCACAACGAAAUUAUGCCUUUCAGGUAGAAAAAAAGCUGAUUUCUUUUGCACUCUAAUUUAUACAGCAUGCUUGGGAGGAGGUCCUACUUAGCCCUCCUGCUAUCCGCUGUCUUUCUGGGCGAGUAAAGAAAUUAAACCUACAGCUAGAUUGCUGUAACAAUUGCUAGUCUGCGUGUUAGCAAACACUGUGGUGGUUGGCAGAUUUACAGUGCUUUUGGAGAUAUACCUUCAGCCUCAUCCAACUCAGCCCACUCAGAGUGGGGCAAGCAUUAAUCAGAAGAAUCUCUUUUUUGGUAAUACUUUACCAUGAAAUGCUCUUUCUUUCACUUCUUUUGCCUCUUCUAUAUUUCAACUUUCAAGACAGAUUUUACUAAUCUCUUUCUUAGUAAGAAAUUUUCUCUGAGUUGAAACAUCUAAGCUGUGUGCCCUGGAUUUUAUCCUUCUUCACUAACAUCUCUCCAGUACGUCUGACUGUUCUGACAUCCAUCGUGGAACCCCACUGACCACGAGUGAGGGCAGAAUUUGGCUGUAUUUAUUUAAAAGAGUAGACCUUAAGGAAAGAGAGGCUCUAGCUUCAUCUCACUUUGUCUAAUGUAGCUCAUGCUUGCAGUUUCUCUGGUGGAUCGUACAGAGUCACACAAACAUUUUCCUCCCUGUGAUUUUUUAUCCCUUCUCAACUUCGUAUCAGUCUCUUGAAAAUAAUGUCUUGAUGGGUAACUUUGUACUGCAGCGAAUGUGAUCUUUUGUAAUAAUUGAGUAGGCAUAGUGCUUUGAUCUAAUACUGAAGAGGCUAACUUGCCCUUAGCCAUCUACCCUACAAUCAUGUUCAGACUGGAUAAACAGGAAUCCUUGCAUCACUUUCUCCUUCUUAAGUAACUAAUUAGGGCCAAUUAUACUUUAGAAAUAUAAUUCCUUCAUAGAUAAGCAAAGUGGAAGUGAUGUUUGGAUUUUAAAGCCUCAGCUAUAGUUGGAGGUUAGAAAAGAUAGGUAUGGUAAAGGAAAUACAAGACAAUUGCUAAAUACUGGACAAACUGGAAGAAUGAAUCCCAACACAUUUUAAGAAAAUUUAUCUGAAUGUCUUUUUUAAGUUCUUUUUUUCCUUUUUCUUUUUUUUAAAGAUUGGGGGUAGAUUUUGUGUUCUUCUGGACACCGGCAAACCUGAACAUAAGUACUGCAGUGAAAUUAAUUUGACUGUGAUGAAGAAUAGCAUACUGCGUGCAUGCAUACUUCACAAAUGUUCCUGUGAUCAGAAUCCAUCACUGUCCUACUUACAGGGUGCCUACAGCAAGAGCAAAGUAAACUUGUCCUUUGUGAGUGAUUGCAGGGCUGAACCUUCACUUGCAAAAUGCAUGGCCAAGGAAAACUUGCUUGUUUGCAUGUACACAGCUAACUCAAACACCAAGUGAGGGAGUUUUCCAGAGCACAAAUUGAUAUCACUGUUGGUAAACUGAAAAAAGGGAUUCUUGGUAUGGAGAAAGGAAAGACUGCUGCUGCACUCAGCUUGAAUUUCCAUGCUUUUAAACAGCUGAUAAAUUUUCACAUCUGGACUCCAUCCACAUAGGUUAAUUCUUUGCGACGAGAAGUUGCAGAAGAACUUUUGGAAUUAAGCCUUACUGAAGAACACACUGCAAAUUACUGACCUUUCCCUGCUAAAUAGCGGAAGUCUGAUGUUGCCCCCAUAAUCAGUCUGAGGAGUCCCAGAGAAAGAAGAAACUCUUGAAACAAUAAAGCACAUCUCCUAGAAGAGCAGCGGGAUCUGGGAAGGGAAAGCAGCUGCAGAGCAGGAGGACUAGAGCGGGAUGUGGAGUUGAGAGAAGGCAGUGCAGCAGGGCAGGGAGACAAAGCAACGCAGAGGAGACUUCAGCCAGGGGGUGCCAGUUGCAGUCCAGUGUCUCCAGGCAGCCCAGGCUGCAGCUGCUCUGGCCGUGGGCACUGAUGCAUCUCCUCUCUACCUUGCUCUCCUUCCAUGCUGCACACUCGGCUUCCAACAGCAGGUGUGCUUUCAUUGCUACAGAGCAAGGAGCAUCCAUGGCACAUAAAAUCUUCCCUGUCCCCUCAUACCCAUCUUUGCAAAAGGAUUGGAGCAGUGGAGCUGUGAUCUGUCCUGAGCAUGCAGUGGAUCAUGAUGCUCUUAAUUGGUGCAGUUUAUUAAUUACAAAGGAGCAUAGAAGCUGAGUGGUAAGCAGAGGAUUUCUACAAUGAAGUGGAUAAUUAAAAAGGAUUAAUGAAGUGGAUUAAAUGAAAGGAUUGAGGCCAAAUGGAGCACAAAUUUUUGAAACAUUAGUGGCCCCAAACUCCUAGCAUCCAAGGGCAUGUUCCUUUUUUCCAGUUUGAUGUUUGUUUUCACUCAGAAGUGUCAGUCUUUCUUUCAAACCAGGUUUAUCAGCACAUUCCCAGGAGAGCUGAGCAGAUUUUGUCCCUCCUCCCGUGGCCCAAAGUGCUCCUUCUGUCCAGUACAAGUUCCCAUCUGGUUUGCUUUCAGCUCAGUGCUGCACCUGUUUCCACUAUCACAUUAAAGACAAAACUCAAAGGAUGUAAUGGAUGACACUAAUCCUGUGCUUCCUCAGUCUGCUCUGUGUUCUUAAUAACCUCUUUCUCUUUAAGAAAGAUGGAGGAAAAGGACUUUGCUGGGAUUCUGAAACAACAGAAGCCUGCCUAAUCCACCCCUAAAGCUUCUUGGCUAACAGCAUUCCUUCCUGCGGAAAGGCUUCUCUGUGGGCAAGUUUGGAGCACAACAAAGCCUAUAGAAGGACUCAUGCAAUUGCCCCCAAAUUCUGCUGGCAACAGCUGGGUUUUUCUUCUCCCUCCUGCUCCCAAAUCAGUUAUUCCACUUCAGAUCUGAGCAGAGCUUGGAGGAGCUCAGCAGGCAGUGGAGGCGGCUGCAAAGAUGGAGAGGAAUCCACCAGGGUGGGAGGUGGGAGGGAGCUGGUACAGUGCUGUGGGAGCGGCAGGUAAACACUGUGAUAUUUAAAUAAGUUCCCUUCUGAAGGGAGCUCAUUAAACAUCUCUUGAUCCUUACUCCCAAUCCAUUACCAGACCAUUUUUGCAUAGUUAUUUUGCAAAUGGUAGAGGGAGACAUGCAUAUUUCUGCCAUGUGACCCCCAUCUGUCUGCUUUAUGAUUUCUCAGUUGCAGUAGCACUAUCUGGCCAAGCACUUAACUUGGCUGGAAUAGUAAAACAAUUAGUAUGUAAGUAAUUAUUUGUGCCAGUUCCUUUUUUGGUGUGACUCAUGAAGCAGAAAUCACAGGAUAUCAUCAUUGUAAUAUCACUGCCCGUUCUGAGCAGUGGGGAGCUCAUCUGUGGAGCACACAGAAUUCCCCACACGUGUUUUCUGGUUAUUUCCCCAUGCCAGUUACUAGUGGAAGCAGCACUUCGGGGCUGGGCCCACGCUGCCCGAUCCGCUGCCCCUCCCAGCAGCAAUAUUGCCCCAUUUACAAUUGCUCAGUGUAGGCAGCAGGUAGCACACAACGGGGAGAGCC